UAUUGAUUCGCAUGUGAUCGCGCUAAGAACAUUCUACACUAGGGUGUUUGAUGUUAAAAACGUGAGCACCCACCCUCCGAGGAAGGGGGGGACGCACGCGGUGAUGCACAAAGGGGUGAGAUGGAUAUUUGUAUGUGAGAGCACUCAGGCGUGCACGACGAAAAGUCAGCGACAACCCGGGUACCCCCAUUGUAUGAUAAUGAUCCUUCCGCAGGUUCACCUAUGGAAA
rnacentral:misc_RNA from 1 species